rnacentral:rRNA from 1 species
AGUCAUAUGCUUGUCUCAAAGAUUAAGCCAUGCAUGUCUAAGUAUAAGCAAUUAUACGGCGAAACUGCGAAUGGCUCAUUAUAUAAGUUAUCGUUUAUUUGAUAGCACCUUACUACUUGGAUAACCGUGGUAAUUCUAGAGCUAAUACAUGCUGAAAAUCCCGACUUCGGAAGGGAUGUAUUUAUUAGAUUAAAAACCAAUGCCCUCUGGGCUCCCUGGUGAUUCAUGAUAACUGCUCGAAUCGCAUGGCCUUGCGCCGGCGAUGGCUCAUUCAAAUUUCUUCCCUAUCAACUUUCGAUGUUUGGGUAGUGGCCAAACAUGGUGGCAACGGGUAACGGAGGGUUAGGGCUCGGCCCCGGAGAAGGAGCCUGAGAAACGGCUACUACAUCCAAGGAAGGCAGCAGGCGCGCAAAUUACCCAAUCCCGACACGGGGAGGUAGUGACAAUAAAUACUGAUACAGGGCUCUUUUGGGUCUUGUAAUUGGAAUGAGUACAAUUUAAAUCCCUUAACGAGGAACAAUUGGAGGGCAAGUCUGGUGAACGUUGCUGGCGCCAGAGAGAGCCGCCCCUCCGUAAACGAAGCGGCUAGUCGAGUGCUCGUGGCAGUAACGGGUGAGCACCGGCGAGACAACCUGGGUCGGGGGAGGCUAAGGGCCCCGGGCCUAUGCUAAUCCCGAGCAGAGCCGAUUUCCUACGGCCUGUGUAGAGCGCGCUAAGGUGUCGGUCCCGGGGCUCCCGCCAGCGGGAGUCCCCCGGGGCUUGAGGUACGUGCCAAUCCCCUGCGAAAGCAGGGCCCUGCGGAUUAGCACCCGUUAUGCGAAGCCGCAGGGGGCCUCCGAGCGAGGCAGUGAUCAUAUUGCUGUAAAUGGCCAGCAGCCGCGGUAAUUCCAGCUCCAAUAGCGUAUAUUAAAGUUGUUGUGGUUAAAAAGCUCGUAGUUGAACCUUGGGCCUGGCUGGCCGGUCCGCCUCACCGCGUGCACUGGUCCGGCCGGGCCUUUCCCCCUGUGGAACCCCAUGCCCUUCACUGGGCGUGGCGGGGAAACAGGACUUUUACUUUGAAAAAAUUAGAGUGCUCCAGGCAGGCCUAUGCUCGAAUACAUUAGCAUGGAAUAAUAAAAUAGGACGUGCGGUUCUAUUUUGUUGGUUUCUAGGACCGCCGUAAUGAUUAAUAGGGACAGUCGGGGGCAUCAGUAUUCAAUUGUCAGAGGUGAAAUUCUUGGAUUUAUUGAAGACUAGCUACUGCGAAAGCAUUUGCCAAGGAUGUUUUCAUUAAUCAGGAACGAAAGUUAGGGGAUCGAAGACGAUCAGAUACCGUCGUAGUCUUAACCAUAAACUAUGCCGACUAGGGAUCGGACGAUGUUAUCUUUUGACUCGUUCGGCACCUUACGAGAAAUCAAAGUGCUUGGGCUCCAGGGGGAGUAUGGUCGCAAGGCUGAAACUUAAAGAAAUUGACGGAAGGGCACCACCAGGGGUGGAGCCUGCGGCUUAAUUUGACUCAACACGGGGAAACUCACCAGGUUAACCGUCUGGGCCUGGAAUAGUGGCGAGGCCUUGGUGCCUCUCGCUUGCUAGUAUCGAAACUCAUCCGCGUGGGGAAGCCCCCGUUGUCGGGCGCGGAGCGGUCGCCGAAUGGCCGGCCGUAGUUCGAUGCGACACCAGCUGGAACAGGGGACGCCUCCCUGCGGGAAACCGCAUAGGCCAACCCUGUGGCGAGCUCAGGUUGCGCUGAGCCGUCGCAACGCGCGCUAAGCGGUGGGCCGGGGCACUGCGUGCCGAACGCAGUGGCCCCGGCUUAAGGUACGUGCUAAUCCCACGGGAAACCGUGGCUCCCCUGAGUAGGCCCGACAGCGCCGAAGCAGGGGGAGGCGGGCGGGAGCUCCCCCCGGGGCCCCCGUCCGCGUACAAGGGUUCUCGGUGGCCGUCGGGGCGUGUGCAGCGCGCCGUCGCCGCCGAGGCCCUGCUUGCCAGACACAAUGAGGAUUGACAGAUUGAGAGCUCUUUCUUGAUUUUGUGGGUGGUGGUGCAUGGCCGUUCUUAGUUGGUGGAGUGAUUUGUCUGCUUAAUUGCGAUAACGAACGAGACCUUAACCUGCUAAAUAGCCCGUAUUGCUUUGGCAGUACGCCGGCUUCUUAGAGGGACUAUCGGCUCAAGCCGAUGGAAGUUUGAGGCAAUAACAGGUCUGUGAUGCCCUUAGAUGUUCUGGGCCGCACGCGCGCUACACUGACGGAGCCAGCGAGUACUCCCUUGGCCGGAAGGCCCGGGUAAUCUUGUUAAACUCCGUCGUGCUGGGGAUAGAGCAUUGCAAUUAUUGCUCUUCAACGAGGAAUCCCUAGUAAGCGCAAGUCAUCAGCUUGCGUUGAUUACGUCCCUGCCCUUUGUACACACCGCCCGUCGCUACUACCGAUUGAAUGGCUCAGUGAGGCGUUCGGACUGGCCCAGAGAGGUGGGCAACUACCACUCAGGGCCGGAAAGUUCUCCAAACUCGGUCAUUUAGAGGAAGUAAAAGUCGUAACAAGGUCUCCGUU